rnacentral:hammerhead_ribozyme from 1 species
CAAUGCUGAUGAGUCCCACAAUAGGACGAAAUGGCCGUCCAGUGU